UUGGACCUGAGACAGGCAAGAUUGCCCGCUAAAUCA
rnacentral:rRNA from 1 species